rnacentral:lncRNA from 1 species
AAAUCCAAGUGGAAUUGGGCCCUCCAUGCGCCUGUACAGGCCCAUGCAUGGAGGCCCUUCCCAUCCAUGCAACAUUUUGAUCAUGCAUUUCAGCCAUGCUUUUGCUAUAAAUACAAUGCUCAUGCCUCUCAUUUGAGCAACCUGAAGGCGCCUGAAACUCUGUUAGAUUGAAUCCCUACCCUCACACCAAAGGAACUCUCUCUUUUCUUC